UACGUAGGGGGCUAGCGUUGUUCGGAAUCACUGGGCGUAAAGCGCACGUAGGCGGAUGUGUCAGUCAGGGGUGAAAUCCCGGAGCUCAACUUCGGAACUGCCUUUGAUACAGCACAUCUGGAGUCCGGAAGAGGUGGGUGGAAUUCCUAGUGUAGAGGUGAAAUUCGUAGAUAUUAGGAAGAACACCGGUGGCGAAGGCGGCCCACUGGUCCGGUACUGACGCUGAGGUGCGAAAGCGUGGGGAGCAAACAGG
rnacentral:rRNA from 1 species